rnacentral:rRNA from 1 species
UGGGGGAUAUUGCACAAUGGAGGAAACUCUGAUGCAGCAACGCCGCGUGAGGGAAGAAGGUCUUCGGAUUGUAAACCUUUGUCCUUGGUGACGAUAAUGACGGUAGCCAAGGAGGAAGCUCCGGCUAACUACGUGCCAGCAGCCGCGGUAAUACGUAGGGAGCGAGCGUUGUCCGGAAUUACUGGGUGUAAAGGGCGUGUAGGCGGGAAUGCAAGUCAGAUGUGAAAUACCGGGGCUUAACUCCGGGGCUGCAUCUGAAACUGUGUUUCUUGAGUGUCGGAGAGGAAAGUGGAAUUCCCAGUGUAGCGGUGAAAUGCGUAGAUAUUGGGAGGAACACCAGUGGCGAAGGCGACUUUCUGGACGAUAACUGACGCUGAGGCGCGAAAGCGUGGGGAGCAAACAGG